rnacentral:miRNA from 1 species
UGUGUGUGUGUGUUUGUAUGUGUGUGUUUAUGCAUGUGUGUAUGACAUAUCAUAUGCAUGUAAUAGAAAAUUCAUAGUUGAAAAGACAUACACACAUGCAUAAACACACACACACACACACACACACACA